CAGACAGUGGAACCACCUUCUCCAUACUGCACCAUGACUCUGCUUCAGACCAGAACAAGAGGGACCACCUCUGGGGAGGAGAUGGCAGUUCAGGUUUCCAUGCUUAUUUGGUCCCUGGUCUCUCUACCAAGAGCACCAAUAGAUUGCUCCAUAUUCUCUGGUCAGCAUGGAAAGUGCAGCAUGUCAGAUCAAGUCUCCAUUCCUCACAUUUCUCAUGUACAGUACCAUUGAAAAAUAUGUCUCCUGCAGCUUCAAACAAUUCCAUUCCUAAGUUUGGAUCCCCAUUACAAAGAGCAGCAUCUUGAGCAACCUAGAAAGAAAAAUGCACAUUCUGUUACGAAGUAAUUUUUAUUCAUUCAGAACUAAAACCCCAUAAUGAAAUGCAUUGUAUAUGGGUUUUGGUACCUGCUGUACAAAAUUAGAAACCUUAGAGACAGCAAUGUCUUCUUACGUCAUCUUAUCUAUCUCUUUUCACUGUAAGGCUGUUCAGUCCAAUAUACAGUAUUCUUUAGUACUAUAGCAUACAUUUCAAUAGCUACACCAUAUACACUUUAACAGCUAAUCUAGAUAGAAACAGGAGUUGAAAAUUGGAUAUUUCACAGAGUGAGGGUUUAUAGCUCAGGUUUAAGUCUGUGGCCAAAUGCUCUAAUUAUGUAGUUGAGUGAGGUUCCCUUAAAGUGAGCAAAGAAUUUGUCCCUCUGUCUUGCUGCUAGGAAAUGAAUUUAUGCCAUUUCAGACACAGUGAAAUGUCACGACACACUCAAUAAAAUGAAGGAAUUCUGCCAUGUACAGGAUACUCAGUUAUUGAUCCCGAAGGAUAUAAUUUACAAGACAUAGUGGGAAAAAGCAUGUGAAUAAAGAAAAUUAAGUAUUCCUACUUUAUCAAUAUUACAGCCAUGUAUAUCGCAAUAGUACAGCAGAACCUUGCUAAUUCAUUCAGUGGCCAUUGCAAUGCAAUGAUUCUUGCAAAUGAUUAAAUUGUGUGGACAGGCAAACAAGAGAACAUACACUAAAAAGAGAAUGCAACUCCAACUGCACUUCGUUAAUUUAUUUGACAAGAGUAGCUUCAUUUUAAUUAUGAUCACAAAACUGUACAGUAAAUCUAAGCAGUAUGAGACUUUCACUCCAACACUCUGCUCAGAUGAAAUACAGUAUAAAGUGUGGAUUCGUUUAGCGAAAAUUAAUAAGACUGUAAUGUAUCUUUUCUAAAAAGUAAAAGUGUUAGUAUUCUUGGUAACAGAUUGUAAAGCUCUUUGGGGCAUUCCAGAGAGGUAACUGAAUGACUCACAGAGAAUAGUAUUCAAUAAACACAGUCUCACUUUCUGCACAUAGCAUGUCCAUAGUCAAAUCAGGGUUUCAAAGAAAUCUCAGUCAUAUUUUAAAAUUAAUUAAUUCCCAAUGAGCUCAUGCGCCUUGUUGUCCACUUUCUGCGAACUUUCUUAAUAGAGUUUUACAACCCUUUUAUUUAAUUUCUAUUUGUAUUAUGGUAGUUAGGGGCCUAUUACAUACCCAUAGUAAAAGACAAUCCCAGCCUCCAAACAUUUUAUAAUCUGAAUAGAUAAGAGAAGGGCUACAAAAAUGACCAUGGAAGAGCUUCCAUAUGAGAAGAGAUUAAAAACACUGGGACUGUUCAGAUUAGAAAUGAGAUGACGAAGGGUGGAUAUGAUAGAGGUCUAUAAAAUCAUGAAUGAUGUGGAGAAAGUGAAUAAGGAAACGUUUUUUAAUCCCUUCACAUUAUGUAAGAACCCAAUGAAAUGAAUAAGCAGCAGAUUUAAAACAAACAAAAGGAAGUACUUCUUCACAUAAUGCUCAAUCAACCUGUGGAACUCGUUGCCAGGAGAUAUUGUGAAGGACACACCUAUAACUGGGUUCACAACAGAAUUAGAUAAGUUUAUGGAGGAUAGGUUCAUCAAAGGUUAUUAGUCAAGAUGGUCAGGGACGCAUCCCAUGCUUUGGGUGUUCCUAAUCCUCUGACUGUCAGAUGCUGGGACUAGAUGA